AAAGCUCAACUUUGAAAUCUCGGUACUUUCAGUAUCCGAAUUGUAGUCUCAAGAAGUGUUUUCUGUGCCGGUCCAUGUAUGAGUCUGUUGGAACACAGCGUCAUAGAGGGUGACAACCCCGUUCAUGACAUGGAUCCCGGUGCUUUGUGAUACACUCUCGAAGAGUCGAGUUGUUUGGGAAUGCAGCUCAAAUUGGGUGGUAAAUUCCAUCUAAAGCUAAAUAUUGGCGAGAGACCGAUAGCAAACAAGUACCGUGAGGGAAAGAUGAAAAGCACUUUGGAAAGAGAGUUAACAGUACGUGAAAUUGUUGAAAGGGAAACGAUUGAAGUCAGACGUGCGUGAUGCGGUUCAGCUCUAGUUCGCUAGAGUGUACUCCGUAUCUUUGCAGGCCAACAUCGGUUUUGUUAGUCGGAUAAAGGUUUGAGAAAUGUGGCACCUUCGGGUGUGUUAUAGUCUCAGACAGAAUACGAUUGAUGGGACCGAGGAACGCAGCGCGCCGCAAGGCAAAGGUUCCGACCUUUUCGCGCUUAGGAUGUUGGUGAAAUGGCUUUAAACGACCCGUCUUGAACCACGGACC
rnacentral:rRNA from 1 species